rnacentral:misc_RNA from 1 species
GUUUUCCACUAUUUUUUUGUUGUUUGAUCAUCAAUGGCGGAGCAGAAGAGCAACAGCAACAACAAUAGGUGGAGUUGGGAUGUGCCGGGAUUUCAACCUCGGAAGUCGCCGGAGCAUGAAGAGUAUCAGAGACCGCCGCCGUUGGCUCGACGGUACUCGAUCUCAACUGCCGCCGCAUCCGCUAUUGUUCCAAAUUCAGAGCUAUCUAAACACGCUCUCAACUUUAAGCUAUUGAAAUUGAAGGAUAAACUAAAGCUUGUCAGGG